AGUUGGUGGAGUGAUUUGUCUGGUUAAUUCCGUUAACGAACGAGACCCCCGCCUGCUAAAUAGUACUGGGAAUGCUUAGCAUUGCCAGAGACUUCUUAGAGGGACUUUCGGCGCUAGGCCGAAGGAAGUUGGGGGCAAUAACAGGU
rnacentral:rRNA from 1 species